rnacentral:SRP_RNA from 1 species
GCUGAGCUCAAUAAUGUGGGCUUGUAACCCAAAUGGGGGCGUUAAAUGUGGUGGAAUGUUGAACCAUCUCAGAUGGUUGGACUUGGCGGGCUAGUUUCUGGCCUGCCCUCUCCAAGCAUAGAGUUGGAUCACGGGGUCUAAUCGAAAGAAUGGGCUUCUUGAUUCCUAAAGAUGGGUGGACUGCGUGAGGCUGGUUUCACAGAGCAACGAAAUAGCUCCUGCUCCGUGCAGUGGAAGGAUAAUGGGCUAGUGCUUGCCAAGUCCAGUUACACCUGAUGGGCUGCUCCAAUUAAACAGCCACUUUU